GACGAACGCUGGCGGCGUGCCUAAUACAUGCAAGUCGAACGCAGUGGGGACGGGUGAGUAACACGUGGGUAACCUCCCAUCAGAGGGGAUAACACUUGGAAACAGGUGCUAAACCGAUACUGAUGGAUGGUCCCGCGGUGCAUUAGCUAGUUGGUGAGGUAACGGCUCACCAAGGCCACGAUGCAUAGCCGGGCUGGGAGGGUGAUCGGCCACACUGGGACUGGGAAACGGCCCAAGCCUCUACGGGAGGCAGCAGUAGGGGAUCUUCGGAAAUGGGGCGAAACCUGACCGAGCAACGCCGCGUGAGAGAAGAAAGUUCUCGGAUCGGAAAGCUAUGUUGUGAAGGAAGCGGUACUUAACCAGAAAGGGACGGCUAACUACGUGCCAGCAGCCGCGGUAAUUC
rnacentral:rRNA from 1 species